rnacentral:tRNA from 1 species
GCGCCGUUAGCUCAAUCGGCAGAGCAGCUGACUCUUAAUCAGCAGGUUGAAGGUUCGAUUCCUUCACGGCGUA